GAUGAACGCUGGCGGCGUGCCUAACACAUGCAAGUCGAGCGGAGAAUUGUUGCUUGCAACCCUUCUUAGCGGCGGACGGGUGAGUAACACGUGGGUAACCUGCCCUAAACAAAGGGAUAACAAUGAGAAAUCAUUGCUAAUACCGUAUAAGCUUACACUAUCGCAUGAUAGAGUAAGAAAAGAUUUAUCGGUUUAGGAGGGGCCCGCGUCUGAUUAGCUAGUUGGAGAGGUAACGGCUCACCAAGGCGACGAUCAGUAGCCGACCUGAGAGGGUGAUCGGCCACAUUGGGACUGAGACACGGCCCAAACUCCUACGGGAGGCAGCAGUGGGGAAUAUUGCACAAUGGAGGAAACUCUGAUGCAGCAACGCCGCGUGAAGGAAGAAGGUUUUCGGAUCGUAAACUUCUAUCUACAGGGAAGAAAAAAAUGACGGUACCUGAGUAAGAAGCCCCGGCUAACUACGUG
rnacentral:rRNA from 1 species